UGUCACAUGAUCCGCGUAACUCCCAUGGAGCUCUCAGAUGAGAGGCUUCCCAAAACCCGAAGGAAGGUGAUGGUGGUUUCCUCACAUCCUCUGCUGCCCCCCCACCCCCCGCCCACGCUCUCUUAUGUUUCUUGUACUUUGUCAGGUCUGCUUCCUUUUCAGACCCUACUUAGGUUGCAGCUUUUACCUGGAGAAAACAUCAUGGAUUCCUCACCUAUAGCAAGAGUGAUGAUGAAUCUUCCUCAAGAGAUCUCCAAAGUGUAAAGUGAAACAGUG
rnacentral:lncRNA from 1 species